CUCGGAGUUUGAUCCUGGCUCAGAUUGAACGCUGGCGGAAUGCUUUACACAUGCAAGUCGAACGGUAGAGGGGGCAACCCCUUGAGAGUGGCGAACGGGUGAGUAAUAUAUCGGAACGUGCCCAGUCGUGGGGGAUAACGUAGUGAAAAUUACGCUAAUACCGCAUACGAUCUAAGGAUGAAAGCGGGGGAUCGCAAGACCUCGCGCGAUUGGAGCGGCCGAUAUCAGAUUAGGUAGUUGGUGGGGUAAAGGCUCACCAAGCCAACGAUCUGUAGCUGGUCUGAGAGGACGACCAGCCACACUGGAACUGAGACACGGUCCAGACUCCUACGGGAGCAGCAGUGGGGAAUUUGGACAAUGGACGCAAGUCUGACCCAGCCAUGCCCGCGUGCAGGAUGAA
rnacentral:rRNA from 1 species